rnacentral:sRNA from 1 species
GAAACAUUAAGUAAAAGUAUUUUCUCAGUUAAAUUUCGAUACCCGUCGUCUAGAUCCUGCGAUAGCUUCUCUUCAUAAUCCUACAAUAGCUUUUGUUCAUAGCAUUUUUAUUUUUUCAAUUUAUGUAGAGGUUUCUAUGUCUAAUAAAAUGACUGGUUUAGUUAAGUGGUUUAACGAAACAAAAGGCUUUGGUUUCAUUACUCAGGAUAACGGUGGCGCUGACGUAUUUGUUCACUUUAAUUCUAUCGUAUCUGAUGGUUUUAAAACCCUUGCUGAAGGACAGAAAGUCAGCUUUGAAGUUGAGCAGGGUAAAAAAGGUCCUCAGGCUUCAAACGUUGUCGCUAUCUAAGAAUUCUCUGGUGUGGUGGAUUUCCAUCACACCAUUUU